rnacentral:SRP_RNA from 1 species
GCCGGGUGCGGUGGCAUGUGCCUGUAAUCCAAGUCACUGGGAGGCUGAGGUUGGUGGAUCAAGUGAGCUGAGGAGCUCUGGGCUGCAGCACGCUAUGUCGAACGGUGUCCACGCUAAGUUCGGUAUCGAUAUGGUGUUCCUGGGGGCCCGGGACCACCAGGUUGUCUAAGGAGGGUGAACCGGCCCAGGUCGGAAACGAAGCAGGUCAAAUCCCCCGUGCUGUCCAGUAGUGGGAUAAUACCUGUGAGUAGAUGCUGCAGUGCAGCCUUGGCAAAACAUCGAGACCUAAUCUUUU